UCUCUGCUUUCAGAGUAAAAGCCAAAGAUCUUAUGACCUUUAAGACUUGCAGCCAUCUGGUCCUCACCUGUCUCUGUGACCUCACCGCCUGUUACUCUCCCUAAUGCCUAUCUUGCUGAAGCCACCUGACACUUUAGUUGAACACACCAAACCUGUUUAUGCCUCAGGGCCUGUUUGCUCCUCCUUGCUGGAGAUGCCAUACCUCCAAAUAUCCACCUGGCUCUCCCAGACCUCAUUUCCUUCAGGUCUCUAAUCUGAUGUCUUAUGAGAUGUUGUUUGAUCAGCAUAUUUUAACAGUUCACAGUGUGUAGAUUUGAUAAAUGUCAACAAUUAUAAUCAUCGUCAUCAUCAUCACCAUCAUCAUCUCCAAAUUUAGGAGAAACUAGAGGAUGCAGAACAUGAGGCUGAGAUUGGUAUAAGAGCUUUUUAUGGCAGAUUGUAUUUUCCAAAGAUGACUGCAACAAUGUCUUGGUUUCACAUGC